rnacentral:misc_RNA from 1 species
GAUGAAGAACGCAGCGAAAAGCGAUAAGUAAUGUGAAUUGCAGAAUUCAGUGAAUCAUCGAAUCUUUGAACGCACAUUGCGCCCCCUGGUAUUCCGGGGGGCAUGCCUGUUCGAGCGUCAUUUCACCACUCAAGCCUCGCUUGGUAUUGGGCGACGCGGUCCGCCGCGCGCCUCAAAUCGACCGGCUGGGUCUUCCGUCCCCUCAGCGUUGUGGAAACUAUUCGCUAAAGGGUGCCGCGGGAGGUCACGCCGCAAAACAACCCCAUUUCUAAGGUUGACCUCGGAUCAGGUAGGGAUACCCGCUGAACUUAAGCAUAUCAAUAAGCGGAGGA